ACAGACACGCGCUGUGCGCUGGCAGGCAGCAACCGUGCUGGCGGAAGGGCCCGGCGGGUCCCCCCGUGACCCCCCUCCACGCCCGGUGGCACCGGGCCCGGGAAGCGCCGCGGGGAGCGGCGGGGGGGACCGGAGGGCGGCGGCUGCCAGCUGAAAAUGGCUACCAGGGGCUUGGCGAUCGCUUGAGGAGGCAGAGAUGGCAGGCAGCGCCGGAGUGGGGGCGCGGAGACCGCAGCCGCUACGCCCCAUCACCGCCGCCCAGGGCGGGCAGCCUCUGCCUGGGAUCGCGGCGGCACAACCGGGCAAACCCGGGCACAAGCCGCCGGGCUGCGAACACCCUCGGCGGGUAAAGCCGGUGCCGCGGGGCUGGCGGAAUGCUGCCGGGGACCCUGCGCGCCCGCGUAGGGAUUAAUUCACCUUUUUUUAUUGUUAUAUUAUUGGGUUUUUAUUUUAUUGCCGUGCACAGACCUACAGCUGUACGUGCAAAUAAAAGCGAGAGCUCACGGAUACCGGCUUUGCUUCCCAG
rnacentral:lncRNA from 1 species